CUAUUCUCUGCAAAAAAGGCGAUCGAUCAAAAAUGAGGACUGAAUGUUGAAUUUGGAGUGACUUUUAUCAAUAAAAGUGAGGGUUAUGGUAAGUUGGUUAGUUCGUGUAUAUAUAAGGGUUAAGGUCAGUUAGUUCGUAGUGAUUGUUUGGUAACGUUAACGGUGUUUUUGUGAAGACCUGAGAGCUGUGAACGGUUGUUUACUUCCAAGAUCACGUCACAAUGUACGCAAACAUAAUGAGGAAAUAUGUGUAGAACCCAGUGAGAAGUUCUAGGGUUGAACAAUCUGAUACAAAUAAGACAUAUGUAUGCAAAUUUCAAAAAAUAUUACAAAGGUUCAAAGCUACAUCAACUUGUCUGCAGUGAUGCUCUAUGUUACAUGGAAAGACAUUGGAAGGCCAGUAAGGAUGAGCUUUUGAAGUUGUCUCCAUCUUCUGCUGAAUAUCUGAUGAGGGAAAAACCAGAACAGUGGUCUAGGGCCUUCUAUGACCAAUCCACUAGUUCUGAGCGCACUAACAAUAACUUAUGUGAGUCCUUCAACAACAUGAUUUCCCCAAUGAGAUACAAGCCUAUUUGUACUCUUGGAAUGAUGUAUGGUCAACUCAUUAUGGGUAUAUUUUAUAAAAGAAGAGCUGAGGUUGAUAAGUUGGAACUUGGACAGUUGGUGCCAAGUGUUUUAAAGUUGAUUAAGAAGAUAUAAAAUUGCACAACUCACUUGAGAGUUAAUGGAGCUGUCUAUGCCAGGUUAUAUGAGGUGAGGAACAUUGAAACCAAUUCUCUGUCUCAAAUUGACAUUGUUCAGAAGACUUGCAAUUGUGUUCAAUGGCAACUUAGAGGAAUACCUCGCAUACAUGAUGUAUGUGUAUUGAUGAAUAUGAGAAUCAAUUGGGCUCAUUAUUACGACGACUGUUAUCUAUAGAGCUACCUAUGCUCCUGAGAUGGGUCUAUUACCAGGCAGAGAAGAGUAGGAUGAGAAAACCAGGGACGCCUUGCAAGAAAAUAAAAAGGGCUUAUGAUGAAGGUCACACUGAGAAGAAAGUAAGAAGUUGUACCAGAUGCAAGACAAUUAUUGGACACAACAUGAGAACAUGUGCGGGUGCACCUGUGGGAUCUAUUCCAAAAACAAAGAAGCAGAGAACCAUGGUUCAAGAAGGAUCUCACUCCACUUUUUAUCCAGAUCCAGUUGAGCUUAUUACCAGCAGGAGGGCUAGAGGAGGAAGAGGAAUAUGAGGAGUUUCAUCAUCUUCAUUUGCUGCUGCAUCAUCAUAUCAACCUACAAAUAAUUAUGCUCCUGGUGCAUCAUCAUAUUCAACUGCACGCGGUAGAGGUGCAAGAGGUGGCAGGUAUGACAGUGGACUGCAAGUGCAUCAAACACUGACACAGAGCAUUGCAGGUGUUGGUGGGGUGAGUCAAACACUGACUCAGACUUUCACAGUUCCAAAAGCAAAAGGAAAGAAGAUGCUUUCCUUCCCUGCUACUCAAUGAAGUGUUGUUGUUAGCUUAUGUGCAGGUCUUUGUUGGGUUUUUAUGUUUUUUAAGUUUACUUUUGUGUUACUACAUCUGUUUGCAGCAGUUGGUUAACUUGGAUUGUGACUUAUGUUUGUGUUUAUGAUAUGUUAAUAUUAAGUAAUAGU